rnacentral:rRNA from 1 species
GACGAAGGGGGCUAGCGUUGUUCGGAAUUACUGGGCGUAAAGCGCGUGUAGGCGGUUGCCAAAGUCGGGUGUGAAAGCCUUGAGCUUAACUCAAGAAAUGCACUCGAUACUUGGUGACUAGAGGACCGGAGAGGAUAGUGGAAUUCCCAGUGUAGUGGUGAAAUACGUAGAGAUUGGGAAGAACACCCGUGGCGAAGGCGGCUACUCUGGAACGCAACUGGACGCUGAGACGCGAAAGCGUGGGGAGCAACAGG